rnacentral:rRNA from 1 species
GAUCAUGGCUCAGAUUGAACGCUGGCGGCAUGCCUUACACAUGCAAGUCGAACGGCAGCACGGGAGCAAUCCUGGUGGCGAGUGGCGAACGGGUGAGUAAUAUAUCGGAACGUGCCCGGUCGUGGGGGGAUAACGUAGCGAAAGCUACGCUAAUACCGCAUACGAUCUACGGAUGAAAGCGGGGGAUCGCAAGACCUCGCGCGAUUGGAGCGGCCGAUAUCAGAUUAGCUAGUUGGUGAGGUAAAGGCUCACCAAGGCGACGAUCAGUAGCUGGUUUGAGAGAACGACCAGCCACACUGGAACUGAGACACGGUCCAGACUCCUACGGGAGGCAGCAGUGGGGAAUUUUGGACAAUGGGGGGCAACCCUGAUCCAGCAAUGCCGCGUGAGUGAAGAAGGCCUUCGGGUUGUAAAGCACUUUAAGUUGGGAGGAAGGGUAGUAACCUAAUACGUUGCUACUUUGACGUUACCGACAGAAUAAGCACCGGCUAACUUCGUG